rnacentral:lncRNA from 1 species
AGCGAUAUAUGGUUUUAUUUGAAAAUGAAAAGUUGGUUAGAUGUAACUUAUUUGUUUAUUACACAAAUUAUCUGCUGAAUGGUAAGUCAUAUCAUUUAUUGGGUUUUACCUGUAUGUAGAGCGUAAAAAGCUGAGAAUUUUGGUAUACUUAACUCAAUAUUUUAAAAUUUGUCAUCUAUCUGGUUUUCGCAGUAUACCGACGAUAUGUAUAUUAAUUCAUAAAAAGUAAAAUCUACUGAUUAUCUACAUUUUCAAACAAUUUUAAUAUCAACUGCACACAUAUGUCGCAAGUGCUAAAUCAACUGCAAAAUGUACAUUAAACGCGAAAGUGCUCGCGAAAAAUACAAUUUUGUGAUUUAAAAAAACCGUAGUUUUCUAAAUUAUCCAUCAUAAAAAAAAAAUAAUGACGCAUUUUAUGAUAGGUAGCUGCAACAUUAUAGUCAGUUUGAAGAUAAGUGUUUAAGACAAAACACAUUUUUUAAUAUAAUCGAAAAUGACAACAGAUAAUACGGGUAAUUAAACAUUGGAAGAACAUGUUGUAUUGAAUGACCAGCAAGACCACCAGAUUUAACUCGCCUGGACUUCCUCCUUCGGGGUUAUUUAAAAAGUAAAAUUUACAAUAGUAAGAUUCCUGCUUACUUGGGAGCAUACAUACGAUAAUUAAUGCAUAAUUAGUGCCCACUGAAACGCUUUAGAAAGUUCAUUGUAAUUUCGAACAGCGACUUUAUAAUAACUUACAUGGACAUUGGUGCAUACAAUUUUGAACACUUUUGAAUUGACACUAGCACAUCGUAGACGUUAAGUUCUUAAGAGGUAUACAACACUUUCAGUAAACCAAUACUUUAAAAAAUAUACGGACAAAAAUCAAGGAUACCUGAAUUCUUCAGCGAAAUACCUCUCUAAUAAUGUGCCACAGAUGGUAUAGGUAUUUCCAAUUUAAAAUUUGAAAUGUUUGUGGAAUUGCGACGGAUAUAUCCAAUUUAAUAUUUGGAAGGCUUGUGGAAUUGGGAUGGAGGUGAUUCAAAAAUAAGAGAUACCAAGUAUAAUGAUGGACUUUGCAGGAAUGGCACCAAAAUAAGAAAAGUAUGUUAAGCUUUAUUUGUUACCACUUUCUUCUUAGGAACAGGUUAAUUAAAUAAAUUUUUAUACCACGCAUUAAGUGUUUUUUGUUUAAAAAAAGCAAUUGCUUGCCUUCUAGACCCGUAUAGUGAUAAAACAUUAUGAGAAAGUUUUAUAUAAUAAAUUUUUUCUGUUCCCCUGGCUAGCACAUCGCUUGACGGUUAUCAAUAACUAUACCUUUAAAAUUGAGAUAUACAGUUAAGAUGUUCCAACUAACUGUUUGAUACAUUUCGUUUACCAAAAUUCACAUUUCUUUGCGGAACUGCAAGUUUCCUUCAACAAGUCAAACUAUGCUACAAGGCCUGUAACUAAUUUGCAAAGCAAAAAUAAAGAUUAUGUUGCAAGAAUUCCUCAAAACAUUCUCGAAGUAUUUCGGUUUUUAAGCGAAAUAUUUGUACUAACUUAGUUAAAAAAAUUGUGCCAAAACUGCAUAAAAUCUCCAUAAAAUCAAUAUGGUCUGAGAAACUGUAAGACACAGCUGAAGCCAUAGUGUGGUUAAAAAUAUCAUUUUCCAGUAAACAUGAUGAAAAUUUUGUAAAAUACAGUUUGAAAUUAUGGUUUGAUAAGGGAGCUCUUUAUUCAGUUGAAGGGACUAAUAUGCAAUUAUAAUAAUGAUUACUAGUAUUUAAAACUAUUAUUUGUAUGUAAUUAUAGAUCC